rnacentral:rRNA from 1 species
CAGGGUGUCGCGGGCUACCCGCAGCCGCCGCACGGCGGCUU